rnacentral:rRNA from 1 species
GACGAACGCUGGCGGCGUGCUUAACACAUGCAAGUCGAACGGAAAGGCCUCUUUCGGGGGGUACUCGAGUGGCGAACGGGUGAGUAACACGUGAGUAACCUGCCCUUGACUUUGGGGUAACUUCUGGAAACUGGGGCUAAUACCGGAUAGGAGCUCCUGCUGCACGGGGGGGGGUGGAGAGUUUCGGCGGUUGGGGGUGGGCUCGCGGCGUAUCUGCUUGUUGGGGGGGUGGUGGCUUACCAAGGCGUUGACGGGUAGCCGGGCUGGGAGGGUGACCGGCCACAUUGGGACUGGGGUACGGCCCAGACUCCUACGGGGGGCAGCAGUGGGGAAUAUUGCACAAUGGGUGGAAGCCUGAUGCAGCAACGCCGUGUGCGGGAUGACGGCCUUCGGGUUGUAAAACGCUUUCGCUCAUGACGAAGCUUUGUGUGACGGUAGUGGGUAAAGAAGCACCGGCUAACUACGUG